GGGGAUUUAGCUCAGUGGUAGAGCGCUUGUCUAGCAAAUGCAAGGCCCCGGGUUCAGUCCCCA
rnacentral:tRNA from 1 species